GUACACUCCUGCGGGAGGCAGCAGUGGGGAAUUUUGGACAAUGGGCGAAAGCCUGAUCCAGCCAUGCCGCGUGCAGGAUGAAGGCCUUCGGGUUGUAAACUGCUUUUGUACGGAACGAAACGGCCUUUUCUAAUAAAGAGGGCUAAUGACGGUAACGUAAGAAUAAGCACCGGCUAACUACGUGCCAGCAGCCGCGGUAAUACGUAGGGUGCAAGCGUUAAUCGGAAUUACUGGGCGUAAAGCGUGCGCAGGCGGUUAUGUAAGACAGUUGUGAAAUCCCCGGGCUCAACCUGGGAACUGCAUCUGUGACUGCAUAGCUAGAGUACGGUAGAGGGGGAUGGAAUUCCGCGUGUAGCAGUGAAAUGCGUAGAUAUGCGGAGGAACACCGAUGGCGAAGGCAAUCCCCUGGACCUGUACUGACGCUCAUGCACGAAAGCGUGGGGAGCAAACAGGAUUAGAAACCCUUGUAGUCCCAUGA
rnacentral:rRNA from 1 species